CCUACGGGUGGCAGCAGUGGGGAAUAUUGGACAAUGGGCGAAAGCCUGAUCCAGCCAUGCCGCGUGUGUGAAGAAGGCCUUCGGGUUGUAAAGUACUUUCAGUGGGGAAGAAAGCCUUGGGGCUAAUACCCUCGAGGAAGGACAUCACCCACAGAAGAAGCACCGGCUAACUCCGUGCCAGCAGCCGCGGUAAUACGGAGGGUGCGAGCGUUAAUCGGAAUUACUGGGCGUAAAGCGCGCGUAGGCGGUCUGAUAAGCCGGUUGUGAAAGCCCCGGGCUCAACCUGGGAACGGCAUCCGGAACUGUCAGGCUAGAGGGCAGGAGAGGAAGGUAGAAUUCCCGGUGUAGCGGUGAAAUGCGUAGAGAUCGGGAGGAAUACCAGUGGCGAAGGCGGCCUUCUGGACUGACACUGACGCUGAGGUGCGAAAGCGUGGGUAGCAAACAGGAUUAGAUACCCGAGUAGUC
rnacentral:rRNA from 1 species